rnacentral:rRNA from 1 species
GAUGAACGCUGGCGGCGUGCCUAAUACAUGCAAGUCGAGCGAACAGAUGAGGAGCUUGCUCCUCUGACGUUAGCGGCGGACGGGUGAGUAACACGUGGAUAACCUACCUAUAAGACUGGGAUAACUUCGGGAAACCGGAGCUAAUACCGGAUAAUAUAUUGAACCGCAUGGUUCAAUAGUGAAAGACGGUUUUGCUGUCACUUAUAGAUGGAUCCGCGCCGCAUUAGCUAGUUGGUAAGGUAACGGCUUACCAAGGCAACGAUGCGUAGCCGACCUGAGAGGGUGAUCGGGCACGCUGGAACGGGGACGCGGUCCAGGGUCCUACGGGAGGCAGCAGUAGGGAAUCUUCCGCAAUGGGCGAAAGCCUGACGGAGCAACGCCGCGUGAGUGAUGAAGGUCUUCGGAUCGUAAAACUCUGUUAUUAGGGAAGAACAAAUGUGUAAGUAACUAUGCACGUCUUGACGGUACCUAAUCAGAAAGCCACGGCUAACUACGUG